rnacentral:rRNA from 1 species
UGAGGAAUAUUGGUCAAUGGGCGAGAGCCUGAACCAGCCAAGUCGCGUGAGGGAUGACUGCCCUAUGGGUUGUAAACCUCUUUUGUAUGGGGGGAAUAAGCUUUACGAGUAGAGUGAUGACAGUACCAUACGAAUAAGCAUCGGCUAACUCCGUGCCAGCAGCCGCGGUAAUACGGAGGAUGCGAGCGUUAUCCGGAUUUAUUGGGUUUAAAGGGUGCGUAGGCGGCAUUAUAAGUUAGUGGUAAAAUAUUGGGGCUUCACCUCACUACGCCAUUAAUACUGUAGAGCUAGAGAACAGACGAGGUAGGCGGAAUAAGUUAAGUAGCGGUGAAAUGCAUAGAUAUAACUUAGAACACCGAUAGCGAAGGCAGCUUACCAGACUGAGUCUGACGCUGAUGCACGAGAGCAUGGGUAGCGAACA